rnacentral:rRNA from 2 species
AACGAGUUCUCCUUAUAGAAGGUGUGUGCUCCAUGAUUUGUGUUGAACGAGUGGCGGACGGGUGAUGAACACGUGGGUAACCUGCCCUUAAGUGGGGGAUAACAUUUGGAAGCCGAUGCUAAUACCGCAUUAAUCCGAUAACCCCAGGGUUCUUGGCUGAUCAAUGGCUUAAGCUAUCGCUUUUGGAUGGACCCGCGGCGUAUUAGCUAGUUGGUGAGGUAACGGCUCACCAAGGCAAUGAUACGUAGCCGAACUGAGAGGUUGAUCGGCCACAUUGGGACUGAGACACGGCCCAAACUCCUACGGGAGGCAGCAGUAGGGAAUCUUCCACAAUGGACGCAAGUCUGAUGGAGCAACGCCGCGUGAGUGAAGAAGGCUUUCGGGUCGUAAAACUCUGUUGUUGGAGAAGAAUGGUCGGCAGAGUAACUGUUGUCGGCGUGACGGUAUCCAACCAGAAAGCCACGGCUAACUACGUGCCAGCAGCCGCGGUAAUACGUAGGUGGCAAGCGUUAUCCGGAUUUAUUGGGCGUAAAGCGAGCGCAGGCGGUUUUUUAAGUCUGAUGUGAAAGCCCUCGGCUUAACCGAGGAAGUGCAUCGGAAACUGGGAAACUUGAGUGCAGAAGAGGACAGUGGAACUCCAUGUGUAGCGGUGAAAUGCGUAGAUAUAUGGAAGAACACCAGUGGCGAAGGCGGCUGUCUGGUCUGUAACUGACGCUGAGCUCGAAAGCAUGGGUAGCGAACAGGAUUAGAUACCCUGGUAGUCCAUGCCGUAAACGAUGAAUGCUAGUGUUGGAAGGGUUUCCGCCCUUCACUGCCGCAGCUAACGCAUUAAGCAUUCCGCCUGGGGAGUACGACCGCAAGGAUGAAACUCAAAGGAAUUGACAGGGGCCCGCACAAGCCUGCGAGCAUGUGGUCUAAUUCAAAGCAACGCGAAGAGCUUACCACGUCUUGACAUCGUUUGAUCACUGAGAGAUC